rnacentral:rRNA from 1 species
AAAUAAUUAUAAGGGCAAAAGGUGGAUGCCUUGGCACUAAAAGGCGAUGAAGGACGUGGCGUAGCUGCGAUAAGCUUCGGGGAGAUGUGUAGCAAUCUGCGAUCCGAAGAUUUCCGAAUGGGGAAACCCAAAUGGUCUUAUAAACCAUUUACUUUAUUAUUGAAGAAUAAUAAAGAGCGCACCUGGGGAAGUGAAACAUCUCAGUACCCAGAGGAAAAGAAAACAACUACCGCUGCUUCGCAACGGAAGCACCAAAUUCAAAUGCUAAAUUUUUGAUUAAAAUAAAUAAUUGCAAACUGAUAUUCAAAAUUUGAUAUUUGGAAUUUCCGCUGCAAAGCAGCGGUGACAUUCCCUAAGUAGUGGCGAGCGAAAAGGGAACAGCCCAAACCUUUUCUUUUAUUAUAUAAAAGAAAAGGGGUAAUAAGAAUAGUCUGCUUUUAUCGUAAGAUAAAACAAGGUAAAAAGUGAUAAUAAUUAGCAAAAAUAUCUGGAAGGAUAUACCAAAGAAGGUAAAAGUCCUGUAUGCGAAAAUUAUUAUCUACCUUGAAGAUUAUUUCUUGAGUACCCCGAAGCAAAGGUAACUUUGGGGGAAUUCUCCUGAACUAUCAAGGAAAGGCUAAAUACUUUUAGUGACCGAUAGUGAACAAGUACCGUGAGGGAAAGGUGAAAAGCAACCCGGUGAGGGUGGUGAAAUAGUACCUGAAACCUUUAUGCCUACAAGUAGGCAGAGGUCGUCUUCGGAUGACUGAUGCCGUGCCUAUUGAAGAAUGAGCCGGCGAGUUUAUUUAUUAUGCUUAAUUUAAGUCGCCUCGAGCGAUGGAAAUGCAGCGAAAGCGAGUGUUAAAAGCGCGAGUAACAGUAUAAUAAGUAAGACCCGAAGCCAGAUGAUCUUGCCAUGGGCAGGGUGAAUUUCAUAGAAAUAUGAGAGGAGGCCCGAACCCGUAGGUUGUACAAUACCUUGGGAUGACCUGUGGUAAGGAGUGAAAUACUAACCGAAUCUGGAAAUAGCUGGUUCUUCCCGAAAUAGCUCUAGGGCUAGCGUUCAACAAUGCUCAGUUGGGGGUAGAGCUACUAAUUCAGCAACAUGGGGGAAACCUCGGUUGCCGUGUUAAACUCCGAAUACCAAUUGAACUAUUUGAACAGUCAGACUGUGGGGGCUAAGCUUCAUAGUCGAGAGGAAAAGAAUCCUGAUCGCCAUCUAAGGUCCCUAAAUUUUGGCUAAGUGCUAGUGUAAGGUAGUGGUUCACCAAUGACAGUUAGGAGGUUGGCUUAGAGGUAGCUAUCCUUUAAAGAGUGUGUAACAACUCACUACCAUAUUUGCUUACUUAAAUUUAUUUUAAGUAAGCAGGUGAGCUGCGCCGAAAAUGUAAAGGGGCUCAAGCCAAAUACCGAAGAUGCGAACAUUGUUGUAAAACAACAAUGUGGUAGGGAAGCAUUUUUUAUUCGUUGAAGGUUUACCCGUGAGGGAAGCUGGAGGAUAAAGAAGCGAGAAUGCCGGCACAAGUAACCGCAAGUCGCCUGAGAACGGCGACCCCUGUAAGCCCAAGGUUUCCUUAGCAAUGAAAAUCAACUAAGGGUUAGGCGGUCCUAAGGCAAUAGCGAAAGCUGGAGUCGAUGGAUUACUGGUUAAUAUUCCAGUCCUUCUAUUUUGUAUCAAUGGGACGACGGAGAAAAUAAGAAAGAGCAUCUUAAUGGUUUGGUGUUGUAAAAUUAGAAUUGCUAAUUAGGUAAAUCCUGUUAGCUAGAUUAAAUUCUCAAAUUCGAUUUAAACAAAAGAGAGAAGUUUCUUUUCUCAAUUCUUUCGAAGAGUCUUCCAGGAAAAAUCUCUAGAUAUAACAAAAUAGAAUCCGUACCAAAACCGACACAGGUGGGCGAGGCGAGUAGCCUCAAGGGAACGAGUGAGUCCUCGUUAAGGAACUAGGCAAAAAAGCGGCCGUAAGUUCGCGAUAAGGCCUGUCGCCGUAAGGCGACCGCAGCGAAAGUUUGUUUAGCGACUGUUUAUCAAAAACACAGGUCCCUGCGAAUUCUUAAGAAGAUGUAUAGGGGCUGAUACCUGUCCGAUGCCAGAAGGUGAACAGUGCCUGUCCAUUAAUCGCAAGAUUAGUGGGCUGCGUGCUCUAAGCCCUGGUCAAUGACAGCGAUAACUAUAAUCGUUCUAAGGUAGCGUAAUUCCUUGUCAGGUAAGUUCUGACGUGCAUGAAUGGUAUAACGACUAAACAACUGUCUCAACGAGGAGCUCGGUGAAAAUACGAGUCCAGUGAAGACGCUGGGUACCCGUGGUUAGACGAACAGACCCUAGAAGCUUUACUGUAACCUGAUAUUGAUUUUAGUCCGCUAAUGCGUAGCAUAGGUGGGAGACUUUGAAGGUUGUCUUUCGGGACAACUGGAGUCGUCAGUGCAAUACCACCCUUUAGUGGGUUAAAGUCUAACCUUGUUAGAAAAACUAAUGAGGGACAUUGUUUGGUAGGCAGUUUUCGUGGGGCGCGAUUCUCCUAAAAAGUAACGGAGAAGCCUAUUAAGGUUGGCUAUCUGCCAAUAGAAACGGCGGAGAUAGUGCAAAGGCAUAAGCCAGCUUUAUAGUAAGGAAGACAUUCCGCACUAUUGCGAAAGCAGAGCUUAGUGACCCGACACAUCUUUAUAGAAAGGGUGGAGACUCCGGACAAAAGCUACUCUAGGGAUAACAGGCUAGUGAAGCCCGAAAGUUCACAUCGACGACUUCGCUCGGCACCUCGAUGUCGGCUCAUCCUAUCCUGGGGCUGAAGCAGGUCCCAAGGGUCCGGCUGUUCGCCGGUUAAAAGGAUACGCGAGCUGGGUUCAAUACGUCGUGAGACAGUAUGGACUCCUAUCUACCAUGGGCGUUCGAUAUUUGAGGGGACUCGACUAUAGUACGAGAGGAUUUAGUUGACCAAACCUCUGGUGUACCAGUUGUUCUACCAAGAGCAUAGCUGGGUAGCUAAGUUUGGAUAGGAUAACCGCUGAAAGCAUCUAAGUGGGAAACCUUCCCCAAGAUUAGAUAUCGUUUUAGGUUCCCAGGAGAUGACUGGGUUGAUAGGCUCUCAGUGUAAGACGAGUAAUCGUUUGAGCUAAAGAGUACUAAUAAACCGAAAUUUCCUCAUC